AGCGAACGCUGGCGGUAGGCCUAACACAUGCAAGUCGAACGGCAGCACAGGAGAGCUUGCUCUCUCGGUGGCGAGUGGCGGACGGGCGAGGAAUACAUCGGAAUCUACUUUUUCGUGGGGGAUAACGUUGGGAAACUUACGCUAAUACCGCAUACGACCUACGGGUGAAAGCAGGGGAUCUUCGGACCUUGCUCGAUUGAAUGAGCCGAUGUCGGACUAGCUAGUUGGCGGGGUACAGGCCCACCAAGGCGACGAUCCGUAGCUGGUCUGAGGGGAUGAUCAGCCACACUGGAACUGAGAAACGGUCAGACUCCUACGGGAGGCAGCAGUGGGGAAUAUUGGACAAUGGGCGCAAGCCUGAUCCAGCUAUACCGCGUGGGUGAAGAAGGCCUUCGGGUUGUAAAGCCCUUUUGUUGGGAAAGAAAUCCGGCUGGUUAAUACCCGGUUGGGAUGACGGUACCCAAAGAAUAGGCACCGGCUAACUUCGUGCCAGCCGCCGCCGUAA
rnacentral:rRNA from 1 species